rnacentral:tRNA from 1 species
GGGCGCAUAGCUCAGCGGGAGAGCACUGCCUUCACACGGCAGGGGUCGCUGGUUCAAUCCCAGCUGCGCCCACCA